AGGGCGCACGGUGGAUGCCUUGGCACUAGAAGCCGAUGAAGGACGUUACUAACGACGAUAUGCUUUGGGGAGCUGUAAGUAAGCUUUGAUCCAGAGAUUUCCGAAUGGGGAAACCCAGCAUGAGUUAUGUCAUGUUAUCGAUAUGUGAAUACAUAGCAUAUCAGAAGGCACACCCGGAGAACUGAAACAUCUUAGUACCCGGAGGAAGAGAAAGAAAAUUCGAUUCCCUUAGUAGCGGCGAGCGAAACGGGAAGAGCCCAAACCAACAAGCUUGCUUGUUGGGGUUGUAGGACACUCUAUACGGAGUUACAAAGGACGACAUUAGACGAAUCAUCUGGAAAGAUGAAUCAAAGAAGGUAAUAAUCCUGUAGUCGAAAAUGUUGUCUCUCUUGAGUGGAUCCUGAGUACGACGGAGCACGUGAAAUUCCGUCGGAAUCUGGGAGGACCAUCUCCUAAGGCUAAAUACUCUCUAGUGACCGAUAGUGAACCAGUACCGUAGAGGGAAAGGUGAAAAGCACCCCGGAAGGGGAGUGAAAUAGAACCUGAAACCGUGUGCUUACAAGUAGUCAGAGCCCGUUAAUGGGUGAUGGCGUGCCUUUUGUAGAAUGAACCGGCGAGUUACGAUUUGAUGCAAGGUUAAGCAGUAAAUGUGGAGCCGUAGCGAAAGCGAGUCUGAAUAGGGCGUUUAGUAUUUGGUCGUAGACCCGAAACCAGGUGAUCUACCCUUGGUCAGGUUGAAGUUCAGGUAACACUGAAUGGAGGACCGAACCGACUUACGUUGAAAAGUGAGCGGAUGAACUGAGGGUAGCGGAGAAAUUCCAAUCGAACCUGGAGAUAGCUGGUUCUCUCCGAAAUAGCUUUAGGGCUAGCCUCAAGUGAUGAUUAUUGGAGGUAGAGCACUGUUUGGACGAGGGGCCCCUCUCGGGUUACCGAAUUCAGACAAACUCCGAAUGCCAAUUAAUUUAACUUGGGAGUCAGAACAUGGGUGAUAAGGUCCGUGUUCGAAAGGGAAACAGCCCAGACCACCAGCUAAGGUCCCAAAAUAUAUGUUAAGUGGAAAAGGAUGUGGCGUUGCCCAGACAACUAGGAUGUUGGCUUAGAAGCAGCCAUCAUUUAAAGAGUGCGUAAUAGCUCACUAGUCGAGUGACACUGCGCCGAAAAUGUACCGGGGCUAAACAUAUUACCGAAGCUGUGGAUUGUCCUUUGGACAAUGGUAGGAGAGCGUUCUAAGGGCGUUGAAGCAUGAUCGUAAGGACAUGUGGAGCGCUUAGAAGUGAGAAUGCCGGUGUGAGUAGCGAAAGACGGGUGAGAAUCCCGUCCACCGAUUGACUAAGGUUUCCAGAGGAAGGCUCGUCCGCUCUGGGUUAGUCGGGUCCUAAGCUGAGGCCGACAGGCGUAGGCGAUGGAUAACAGGUUGAUAUUCCUGUACCACCUAUAAUCGUUUUAAUCGAUGGGGGGACGCAGUAGGAUAGGCGAAGCGUGCGAUUGGAUUGCACGUCUAAGCAGUAAGGCUGAGUAUUAGGCAAAUCCGGUACUCAUUAAGGCUGAGCUGUGAUGGGGAGAAGACAUUGUGUCUUCGAGUCGUUGAUUUCACACUGCCGAGAAAAGCCUCUAGAUAGAAAAUAGGUGCCCGUACCGCAAACCGACACAGGUAGUCAAGAUGAGAAUUCUAAGGUGAGCGAGCGAACUCUCGUUAAGGAACUCGGCAAAAUGACCCCGUAACUUCGGGAGAAGGGGUGCUCUUUAGGGUUAACGCCCAGAAGAGCCGCAGUGAAUAGGCCCAAGCGACUGUUUAUCAAAAACACAGGUCUCUGCUAAACCGUAAGGUGAUGUAUAGGGGCUGACGCCUGCCCGGUGCUGGAAGGUUAAGAGGAGUGGUUAGCUUCUGCGAAGCUACGAAUCGAAGCCCCAGUAAACGGCGGCCGUAACUAUAACGGUCCUAAGGUAGCGAAAUUCCUUGUCGGGUAAGUUCCGACCCGCACGAAAGGCGUAACGAUUUGGGCACUGUCUCAACGAGAGACUCGGUGAAAUCAUAGUACCUGUGAAGAUGCAGGUUACCCGCGACAGGACGGAAAGACCCCGUGGAGCUUUACUGUAGCCUGAUAUUGAAAUUCGGCACAGCUUGUACAGGAUAGGUAGGAGCCUUUGAAACGUGAGCGCUAGCUUACGUGGAGGCGCUGGUGGGAUACUACCCUAGCUGUGUUGGCUUUCUAACCCGCACCACUUAUCGUGGUGGGAGACAGUGUCAGGCGGGCAGUUUGACUGGGGCGGUCGCCUCCUAAAAGGUAACGGAGGCGCUCAAAGGUUCCCUCAGAAUGGUUGGAAAUCAUUCAUAGAGUGUAAAGGCAUAAGGGAGCUUGACUGCGAGACCUACAAGUCGAGCAGGGUCGAAAGACGGACUUAGUGAUCCGGUGGUUCCGCAUGGAAGGGCCAUCGCUCAACGGAUAAAAGCUACCCCGGGGAUAACAGGCUUAUCUCCCCCAAGAGUUCACAUCGACGGGGAGGUUUGGCACCUCGAUGUCGGCUCAUCGCAUCCUGGGGCUGUAGUCGGUCCCAAGGGUUGGGCUGUUCGCCCAUUAAAGCGGUACGCGAGCUGGGUUCAGAACGUCGUGAGACAGUUCGGUCCCUAUCCGUCGUGGGCGUAGGAAAUUUGAGAGGAGCUGUCCUUAGUACGAGAGGACCGGGAUGGACAUACCUCUGGUGUACCAGUUGUCGUGCCAACGGCAUAGCUGGGUAGCUAUGUGUGGACGGGAUAAGUGCUGAAAGCAUCUAAGCAUGAAGCCCCCCUCAAGAUGAGAUUUCCCAACUUCGGUUAU
rnacentral:rRNA from 1 species